rnacentral:rRNA from 1 species
GACGAACGCUGGCGGCGUGCCUAAUACAUGCAAGUAGAACGCUGAAGGAGGAGCUUGCUCUUCUGGAUGAGUUGCGAACGGGUGAGUAACGCGUAGGUAACCUGCCUGGUAGCGGGGGAUAACUAUUGGAAACGAUAGCUAAUACCGCAUAAGAGUAGAUGUUGCAUGACAUUUGCUUAAAAGGUGCAAUUGCAUCACUACCAGAUGGACCUGCGUUGUAUUAGCUAGUUGGUGGGGUAACGGCUCACCAAGGCGACGAUACAUAGCCGACCUGAGAGGGGUGUGGGCCACACUGGGAAAGGGACAGGGCCCAGAGCUCUGAGGGGGGGGGAGGGAGGGAAUUUUCGGAAAGGGAGGGAAGUCGUACCGGGAACGGCCGGGGGAGGGAAGAGGGGUUUGGGAGCGUAAAGCUCUUUUGAAAGGGAAAAAGGAGGGGGGGGGGGAAAAGUUCCCGUUGUGACGGUAGCUAAAAAAAAAGAGACGGCUAACUACGUG